rnacentral:rRNA from 1 species
GAUGAACGCUGGCGGCGUGCCUAAUACAUGCAAGUCGAGCGAACAGACGAGGAGCUUGCUCCUCUGACGUUAGCGGCGGACGGGUGAGUAACACGUGGAUAACCUACCUAUAAGACUGGGAUAACUUCGGGAAACCGGAGCUAAUACCGGAUAAUAUAUUGAACCGCAUGGUUCAAUAGUGAAAGACGGUUUUGCUGUCACUUAUAGAUGGAUCCGCGCCGCAUUAGCUAGUUGGUAAGGUAACGGCUUACCAAGGCAACGAUGCGUAGCCGACCUGAGAGGGUGAUCGGCCACACUGGAACUGAGACACGGUCCAGACUCCUACGGGAGGCAGCAGUAGGGAAUCUUCCGCAAUGGGCGAAAGCCUGACGGAGCAACGCCGCGUGAGUGAUGAAGGUCUCGGAUCGUAAAACUCUGUUAUUAGGGAAGAACAGAUGUGUAAGUAACUAUGCACGUCUUGACGGUACCUAAUCAGAAAGCCACGGCUAACUACGUG